CUUUUGUAACAUUUUCAGCGGGAGAGCUACAGUCCGAGAGAAAAGCCACGUCUCACCUUUCGAAGUUAAGCUAAGCUAACACCUAAUAGUGUUUGUUUUUCAGCAGAACCUGAAUUCAACGAGCCUAAAGUCCAACCACCUGAGCUCUCACAUGCCCCAGCCUUCAAAGCCCCGUGAUAAGUGUCCGUGAUGCUCUUCACUUUCUGGACCUGGUUACGGCGCAGCGGCGCACUGCGUUUAAGCGGGACUGGAGAGCGCGCUCAGCGGCUACACUAUAGCUGACUCUUUGAGGGGAGCUGUCGGAAUUCCCGGUGUUCCUGCAGGUUGUAUAUCACGGGCAGCGGGGACGCGGUGUACGCUUCGUAGCCUGGAGUGGACUGGGCACUAGAGGAGGUGGAAUCGUCUCUAAACAAGGACUAAACCCGCAUUUGACCAGGUCUAACCCGACACCCACAUACGCCUAAACCAGGGUGAGUGUCGUGCUGCUGGUUCACAUGCAUCUCCAGCUCCUAAAGGCUAUGGUGGAAAGAUGACGGCACAAGCCUUUAACCAUCUCGUCUGAGACUUGCAGAUUGGUAUGGACACAUUUCUUGCUGGUUGAGCCUGGACGGCCUUUCUAACUGUGACUGAAGUGGGAAGGACAAAGGUUUUUUUAUGUCAUCAUUGACCUAGCUGAAUUUGGUGAACACUUCAAGGCACUUGGUCCUCAGACUCUCACAAACUUUACACCUAUAUUCAAAGAACUGUCUAUAACAUGGGCGUUGGAUGUGUCAUAAGACACCACAAGAGUGAACGACUGACUCUUAAGGUAAAUAGUUUCUGCAAUGUCAAAGUUUCAUAAUGAGCAAGACUGUUUUUAUUGUGAACAUUGUUAUGUUUAUAUAAUGGAGAGAAAAUCUUGUUUCAAACAGUCAGACAUGCUCCUCUCAUUUUUGGAGAUGAGCAUGCCUGAAUUCCAUUCAAAACAAGAUCCUGAUUCAUCCAUCGACUGCUUGCAUUGAAAAAUCAACUUCAAAAAAAUAAAUGGCAAUCAUUGUGACCAACUGUUGAGGGCACAGAGAAUUCCUGCUGUGAGUUGGAUUUUGCUAAAAUAGUAUUGUGUCAUAUAACUUUUUAAAAUUGUGUUGACUGUAUGAUGUGCAUUCUUUCAAUACAAGUUAAGUUGAAAUAGAA